CAAUUCGAGUAUUAAGUCAAACAUGUAGUUCUUCAGGUUGCGAGAGAAAUUGGAAUAUGGUUGAACAUAUUCAUUCUAAAAAGAGAAAUAGACUCGAGCACUAAAGACUUAAUGAUCUUGUUUAUGUUCACUACAAUUUACGAUUGCAACAACGGUUUGGCAUUUAUGGCAAUUGGGUGUUAGAGGAGAAGCCACCGAAUUUGGUCGAUGAUGAGUUGGAGACAUUUCGUCGUGAUUUGGGUGCAUGCUCUAUACAAAAUGAUAAA